rnacentral:rRNA from 1 species
GUCUACAGCCAUGCCAUCCUGAACAAGCCCGAUCCCGUCUGAUCUCGGAAGCUAAGCAGGGUUGGGCCUGGUUAGUACUUGGAUGGGAGACCACCUAGGAAGACCAGAUGCUGCAGGCA